CCUGGCACAUCGUAGGUGUAGGGGAGGUGUUAGCUAUCUCAGUGAUGGAACACCGCUCCCCCAUCCUACCUCCGGCAGCAGCCCCUCCUAUUACAGCAUCUCCCAUCGGGCAGCUCUGGCCCAGGUCACAGUCUGCUUCCUGCUCUGGAUUUUUUACCUUGGAACUGAAUUCAUCCUCCAGUUGCUGUUUUGUUAGUGCAUCUCUUGUUUCCAUCAUGAAUUGUCCCUGGACAGAGUCUCCUGAUCUCCUGCAGUGAUUCAUCUGAUAACUGGAUGUGAAGUGCUCUCCCUGACACAAGGCCCCUCAUGGUGCUCCUGGCUGCCCUCCUCUCCAGCCUUACCGAAUUGUUCACCUACUUAAACAAUUGCCUCUUCAGAGACCCCGGUCUAUGUCAACGAUUGCCCUCUCUGGACUGUGACCACCUCCAGGAAGUAGGCUUGCGUCUCCAGGGUCCUAUACACAGCAGGAGCCGGGGCACUUCUAAGGUAAGGUCUUUGUUGAUGGGUCAGUCUGAUUGAGUUGUGUGUGCAAGGGAUCUGAAUUCCUGCAGACAUGACCACUUCCUGCGUGAGUCUCGGUUUGCCGCUCUGCAAAAUGGCCAUACCACCUUCCCACAGCUGCCGAGGGCUGGGCUCCGAGUGUCCAGCAGCAUCGAGCUGUCACCCAGGAGACUCAGUGAGUCCCCUCACCCCUUCCUGAUCUGCUCAGGCUUACUGCCUUCGUUUUGGGUGUCGUCAGCCCCAACCUCAUUUUUGUUGUUCUUGUUAAGUAAAGGUAUAAAAACCUUCAUUAUUAACUGGCUUAGAGAUCCUAAAUCAUCCUUUUAAGGGUGAAAAAAAAAUUCUUAUUGGUUGUUAGACACACCAAUGACUCUCUUGGUUGCUAUGGUGAUUCUCUGACACCCCCUCUUGCAGAUUAAAAAUGCCUCACAUUUCUAAGUCUGGCUGCCCCCAACAGUGACUUCUGGCCCAGCAAUUCCCACCCCAAAGCAGGAAGGGGGGCCUGGCAGUUUCUCGGGGUUGCAGCUGUGGCCUCAGCUGUCAGAAUUGAAUCUGACUUUCCUGUGUCAGGGCCUGGGUCAUGUAUGGAGAUGACCCCAUAUGCACUUCCCUACUUAGCUGUGCAGUUUUGACAGAGGUGGUAUACAAAGCCAAAAAGCCCCCGAGCUACUUGUCCAGGACGCCUGCUCCUUUCAGAGGAAAAUAACUGUCUUCCCACUCAAGGCCGAUUUCUCCAAAUUAACUCUUAUGUCGGCAAAACUGCAUGAACUUCACUGGCACCCUAUGGCUUCGCAUCUGUCACUCACUCACACGCAUGUGCUCUCUCUCCCUACAUACUGUGGUAACUAUCUUGUCCUCAAGGUGGAAUUUUACUCUCAUAAGGAUGGACUCUAUCCCCUUCUUUUCCACCUUCCUCCCGUUCCCAUGAGUCCUCCACACAGGUUCGUUUCUUUAAAGGUUUAUUUCUGGCGAAUAAAAAAAAAAUAACUUAUGUGGUUAGAUAAAUUAAUGUAUGUGAAUAGACAUGACACAGGCAGAGAUGGGAGUUCCUGUUUUCUUCUGGAUCUUGCAGGCUGGUGAGAGGCAGCUGAAUGAGACCGAGCCUCAUGUUUUGUGGGAUGAAGAGAUGCUGACACAGUGACUCAGGUACAUUGAUGCUCCCUGGAGGGCUGGGAGGUGGGCUCAGAGGAAGGCCGAAUCCGGACCUCUUUUAUUGAAAAGAAAUAACUCUUUAAUGUAGCAUUUAAAAAAAUCAAUCAGCCGAAGCUCUGCACACACUCAUCCGUAAUGAUCAUAAACAUAACAUACCAAGCACAGGCUCAGAAAUAUAGAGCAGUAGCCUCAGGACAUUUUCAACAUGGUACUUGGGGACGCCUUUGGGAGAGAUACCUUCCCCAGCAGAGGUCGCCUCUGGAGGCCAGCACUGUGGCGAGAUGGGACCGGAGCCACUACUAGCAUAGCUAUUAAGAUCUUUGGCUUUCUGAACUCUGUCUGGGGACCACUGCCCUUUAGCCUGAGGUGAACGUCUCCAAAUUUCUAGCAGCCAGCCCCUUGGUCAACAGAUGGUACCUUUCCUCCAGGAAUCUGAGAAUGGAGGAUGCGUACAGUCUGUGCUGGGGUCUUUAGGCCAGAAUCCCAGAGGCCUUUCCAGAGCCCUGAACCUCAGGGCUGAGAGAGAAGAUUCUGGGGACCACCUGCCAGGGAGGAACCCAAACCUCCUCAGGGAGAGACCUGCCAGUUCCCCAGGAGCAGAGACCAUGGCUUGCUCACCACUUUUCCCUGUUUCUGGUUCCUUCAGGAGGUUUUGGCCUUGGGGUCACUUUGGAGGUAAGGUUUACUCUCUUAGGCUGUGGUGAAUUUUGGUUACGAUUUUUUGAUAAACUAGGAACAGGCUUUAGUUGCCUGUAAACGCAUUAAGCCAGAAAGCAAGCAGGUGAGACUCAGGAGCAGCUCAAAAGGUUUUCCCUGAU